GGAUAUUAAAAACAGUACAGUUGGGAACAUUCUUUUUCCUCGUGUGAACAACAUAAGCAAAGAACGUAACCGGCUUUCAUAUUACGGCAAUCCUCAUGUGGGAAAUCUUACACUAGUCUCUGCAGAUAAGAGUUCGAGUUCCAUUUGCCUAUCCAAACAAUCUUCAAGCAUUGACUACCCACCGUCGCUCAAACCAAGCCCAAAAAAACCGCUGCAGCAAAUAAGCCGCUUUCUCAUCCCACUUUCGCUGAGAUGAUAACUGAAGCAAUCACAAACCUGAAAGAAAGAACCGGUUCAAGCCAAUAUGCUGAAACAAAAUUCAUCAAAGAGAAACACGAGGACUCACCUCCAACUUACCGUAAGCUUGUCAAGUUUACCUAUCAGAAGGUAUUGUUUCACUAUGGAGAGAUAACACUGCAAACGUCAUCCGUUACUUCCCCGCUCAGGCUUUGAAUUUUGCAUUCGAGGACUACUUCAAGAGGCUUUUCGAUUUCAAUAAGGACAAAGAUGGUUACUGGAAGUGGUUGGCUGGUGACUUGGCCUCAGGAGCACGAAUCUAAACCGUAGCCACCAAUAUUCAUCGCUGAAGCAUCAACCGCCUGCAUUACCGUCCAAGUCAAACAAUCUGCACAUAAAGAGAGAAAAAGCAAAAGACGACUUCACUUUGAAGAAUCUGCAACUUUCAAGAAGAGGAUAACAUAAUUCGAUCUCCAAUUUCUCAACCGACGGAACCGGAAGCUCCACACCAGCAUAACCUGCACGAAGGAGGAAACUCAGAGGGUCAUCAAAAGACUCAAUGUUUAAUCCAAAAGUUUCAAAUUCAGUUCCAGAAUUAUUUGAUACUAACCUUGUACUGUUCAUUAGUCGGCGCCGGUGUUAAUCUCCAAUACAAUCCGCCUCAAACCAUGGGGAAGAAGCAAAAUGGGUUUAGAAGGCCUGUUAUCAUAAAAAACAAGAGGAAUCAUCAGCAGGUCGUAACUACUGGACCAUCAAGCCAUGCACAUAACAUCUAUUGAGCUAACAUCUAACUGCAUCAAAACCAACAAGCAGUAGGCCCAUUGUAGCAGGGACAUGGCAUAUGCUAGCAGACAACUUACCAAAACCAGGCUCCAACUAAUUGAACCUAACAACCUUGCUAACUUUGUCAUCCAAACUAACAGUAGCAGCUCAUUACACCAACAAAGCUAACAGUCCUAAUUGCAACAUAACAACAAACCAAUGUUAAUGGAUAAACCUGUUGAAGCCAAGAGAAGUCCAUGUGAGGUCUCCAACUCA
rnacentral:lncRNA from 1 species